GACGAACGCUGGCGGCGUGCCUAACACAUGCAAGUCGAACGGGAAAGUGGAGCAAUCCAUGAGUAUAGUGGCGACCGGGUGAGUAACACGUGACUAACCUACCUUCAAGUGGGGGAUAACCUCGGGAAACCGGGGCUAAUACCGCAUAAUAUCUCUGUUAUGAGAAAGCAGGGAUCAAAGGAGCAAUUCGCUGGAAGAGGGGGUCGCGGCUGAUUAGCUAGUUGGUGGGGUAAUGGCCCACCAAGGCUUUGAUCGGUAGCCGGCCUGAGAGGGCGCACGGCCACACUGGAACUGAAACACGGUCCAGACUCCUACGGGAGGCCGCAGUGGGGGAAUUUUGCGCAA
rnacentral:rRNA from 1 species